CAGAACAAAGGAACAUUUAUUAUAAACAAACCCAGUCACAGUGCAAACAAAUACAAAAUAUAUUACAAAUUACAUCAGAAAAGAAAAAAAGUGAGAAAAUUUUACAGAAACCCUAAUAAUUACUGUACUAGUGAAGUAACAGUAUUUAUGUUGCAGGAGAGCUUUUGGCAAGAACAUGUCAAUCCACAGCAAAUUUGAUUUGGCUCUCAAAAUGGAACAAGUGUUUUGCUUUUUUUUUUUUUUUUUGGUGGGGGGGUGGGGGGGGCUUAUCUCAUGUUUUAGCUCUGCUGUCUUGAUGUGGGGCAGACAGGUGUCAGAAUUCCAGUAUUAUGACUGGUUAUUUAUUCCAUUUCAAACCUUGUUGAAAAUGCACAAUGCAAUAUAUUAAGUAUAGAUGCAUUUGAUAGCUUUGUACCCAGGUCAGAUAAUCAUGGUGAAUACAGACAAUUAUUUUGAGAUAAAACAUAUUCCAUACAUAAUGCCCUCAACAAUAAAAAAGCAUCUAAAACCACUUCUGGAACUUUACAUGAAUUAAAAUGCUGUGUUUCUCAAGCGCACUCUGAUAAAAUAUCGGAUAAGGCCCCAGUAAUAAAGAGCACCCAUCCCUUACAACCAGAUAUAUGUUGUAAGUUUCUAAAAAAUCAUUUAGUUUACAACUAGAAAAAUAAAACAUGACUUUCUUGCAGGUCAUUUCCAGAUGUCACCAACAAGAUUUAACCCAUCGUUCCCCAGAUACAGAUCACCUGACACAUCAUGACAUCACCCAUUGAAAUUUCCUUUACCGUUUUAAAGCAGCACACUUACAGGCAUUAAAUGAUUGACUAGUGUCCUCUGGCAGAGAAAUGUCUCCCUUUGCAGGUUGGUAACCAUUCCUAGAGUAUAAAAAAUGGUGAGUGAGGCUUUAGAAACUAAAAACAUUUUAAAUGUUAUUCUGAAAAUGAUCAGAAUAAAAAAAAAAAAUCUAUAUACUUUAACUUAAAUGCAAUUUUUACUGUAAUCGAUUGCACUAUUGAGCUAUUAACAAGCCAAAUUCAUGUAAAGAAAAUAAGGGGUUAAAAUAUUGAAAGACUAUAUAUGCGGGCUAUAUGAAGUGUUGAGGCUAUCACUGAUUCUAUCUGGAAAGAAACACAAGUAUUCCCCUUGGCAACAAAGUGGGAACUCUGCCUUACAUGAGACAAAUUAGAUCACCUACAUCAUUACAUAGUGUCUCAUGAGAGAGCAAGAGGUGUAUGCACUUUUAAAUUUGAAAAUCCUGUACGUACAAUUUCUUACAAUGAAGGUUCAAGGUUUUUCGGAUUUCCUGCUUAUUUUUAAAGGAACAUAAAAACCAUAACAGUGCACUCUAAUGGUCAUGUUGACCUGGCGCCUCCCAUUUUAAGUUGGCAAACCAUUUUAGAGCCUGGGCUAAGCCAGUCAGUGCAGGGCUUCACUCGUUGGCUAUGAGUGAUCAACUGACAUUGAUCAAGCUAGCCCAUUAUUGCACGGCUUAAGACUGAAGAGCUAACAAAACAUCUUACACAAGCCAACAAAUGUUGUGUGACUAAUAGAAUCAAAAGAUCACUCCAAGCACUAUUUUCAAAUGGACUACCUCCCAAAACAACUCUUGAGCUUAAAGGAAAACCAUAGUGUUUGUAUUUUUAACACUAUAGUGCAGGAGUAAAUAUUUAGGCGACACCCCUCCCCAUCCCAUGGACAUAAGUAUUUUACUUAACUUCUCUCCAAUGCUGCACCUGGUGCUUGAUGAUCUCAGCCAAAUCAAUGCUUUCCUAUAGCAAAGCAAAAUUGCACUCCUCAAAGAUUGUACUGAAUCAUUGCAUCUCCAUGCAGAGCGUGAAGACGCGGAAUGUUGGUGCUGUAUACAGUGCACCACUUAACUAGGAAGCACCUCUAGUGGCCAUCUGAGUUAUUGCCCCUAGAGAUGUUACUAGUCAGCAAUGUAAAUGUAGCUUUCUGAAAAGGCAGAGUUUGCAGUGCCAAAACUGCAGAGACAUGCUAUAGGCACCAGAGCAACUACAUUCAACUGUAGUGGUUCUGAUGUCUAUAGUGUCACUGUUAUUUUGAGAGUUCCUUUAACCCCUUUACUACCAAGUAGUUUGCAAUAUUAGCAUAUUAUAUGAAAUGUGAAAUCUAUAGCUAAUGCUGUUUAUAGACUGAGGUUCAAAAAAACAAAAACACACAAUUAAAACAAUGGAAACUUUUUUUAAAAUAUGUAAACAUUGCAGGUAAAUGAAAAGCUUUAGAUAAUAUACAUCCCUAAACUUGCAAUAUUUCAGAGUCGAACAAAAAUAGAGGAAAAAAAUAUUAAAUAAAUAAUCUGCUUAUUGGUAUUUGUAAAUCCUUGAUUGCAUUAGUAGCAGUUUACUAUAAAUGGCAACAGAAUGUAAAACACAUUUCUGCUUUCAAGUUUAAUGCACACAUACAGUAUGUAGUUCUAUACCAAUAGGGAUGUGAGAGGUUAGUCACUUCUUCCCCUCCCUGUAGGAAUAGCAUGAUCCAUUUACUGUUUGGAAGAAGGAGGGUUGUUAUUUAUAGCACAUUUGUAGACAUUGAAUGGCUGGAAUAGGUUCAAGGCAGAGAAGUGCCACUGCAACCUGGUAUUCCUGAUGUAGAAUUAUGGCAAGCAAGGCUUUAUGGGGUUGAGAAAAUGUACCGUAUUUUAUAUAUACAUACAUUUUGAAGGGGUUAUGUCAUCCAUAAUGGGUUAAACAAAAAGUACAUAUCAUAGAAUGCUAAACAUUGCUUGUUUAUAACUGCAUUCAUUUAAAGGCAGAGAAUUUAGAGUUCCCUGUAACACUCCAAAAUCGAGUCAUUUUCAGCCUAUUAUAAUAUAUUCAGCCCAUAUUCUAAGUACUGGUGGAGGGGCUGAAGAGUACCACAUUGACAAAGAGUGGGAUUGAAUAAUUGGGGGCAAAGGGUACCAUUAUAACUCCCAUUAAUCUAAGGCAGACUAUUACAGGUUUGUGCAAGUGCUUCCCUCAGACUGCAUAACAGUCACAGAUUGCAUUAGUUUUGAAUGGAUGACUUGAAAAUAAUGAGCAGAUCAUGCAAUCCAUGUCAAUAUAUACAUAUGCAUACUGGAUCUUCAGGCAAAAUGGCCACCAGGCAUAAGUAUGUAUUCACUUAACAGUGAACGGCGAUGAAUAGAAAAAUCAAAUGGCAAAUUUCAGACUAGAAUAGCCAAAAUGUAACUAGUUGAAAUGGAGCGAUGUGGCCUUUUUUCGUAAAUAAAUGGGUUACUCCAAGCAUCAUGAACACUUCAUUGAUUUGAAGUGGUCAUGGUACUUGAAGUCUGUAUUUGAAGUGUUUCAGAAAUAAAUUAUGCAUUUACAGCGAUAUUUUGCAGCUGGAUGUGUAACUUCACAUGUUGGCAGCAUCAUUAGCAGCCCAUAAGGAGAAAACUAGGCUGCAAAGAAUAAAUCUGUGCCCAAAGUAUUUUUUUAGCCCUGUCUCAAGACAUCCCAUUUAUUUUUAUUUAACAGAAACUAAGGAGGAGGGGGGCGUCUCAGCAAGGAGUAAUCCUUUAAGAUUUCAUCUCAAGUGCACAUGUAUCUAGGAACUACUAAAAAAUCAUGGGUGCUAACUUUCUGCCAGUAUCACAUGCUAUUCCAAAUG